rnacentral:lncRNA from 1 species
AUUUAUUCCUGUAAUUUCAGCAUCAUUACUCCAGUCUUACACACACCCACCCACACCCACACGUGCGCUAGUGAGAGGAAUCAAGAGUGUUUCUUUGGCACAGAACUCAGUCUGGGGAAACUUUACAUCGUCUCUCUGAAGAGGAAAUCCACGAUCGAAACGCUCUAAAGGAAAUUCAAGGUUAUUACUUAGCACAAGCCUUUUUCUUACACACAAACAUUUCUUAUUAAAAUGCAUACAUAUUCAUCCAGAAUGUUUCUCACCCACACAAACCUGUUUAUAAGGUGAUGUCAUUUUUAAUGUUAAAAUGUUAAAAAUAGUAAUAUUGUGAAAUAUUACAACUUAAAGUAAUUGAAGUAAUUUAUUCCUGUAAUUUCAGCAUCAUUACUCCAGUCUUCAGUGUCACAUGAUCCUUCAGAAAUCAUUCUAAUAAGCUGAUUUGCUGCUCAAGAAACAUUACUAUCAAUGUUGAAAACAGUCGUGCUUCACAUUUUUAAUAUUUUCAUAUUUUUUGUGGAAUCUUUUCUGAAUGGAAAACAUAAAUAUAUUUAUUGACACUUUUGAUCAGUUUAAUGCACCCUUGCUGAAACUGGCUACUUUGAAAUCAAAUUCAUCAAUCUGGUCUUGCACCAUGCGCAUUACAUUUUUAAGCUGUCAGGUUAAAUUCUUUAAAAAUGCACACUGAAUGAAAUCACACACUUCACCCUAAAGGGAGCUACAUUCAAUUAAACAGUCACAGAAUGCUUGAAUUGGAAUCCAGAGCUCUGAUUGUGGGAUGUUUUGCAGGUACAGUGCAUGAUGGGCCAAGGGGACGUGCGGUUCGAACCCUGAUCAAUCUAAGAAGAGAUUUGAAGAACUUAGAUCUAAAGGCUGAUAGUAUUCAGCAAAAAGAGCAUUUCAGGCGGCCUCUGAUGGAGCUGCUGUGCCUCACUCCACAGGACUUCGAGGCGGUGUGGAGGAUUGUGAGUCGGCGUGCUUUUGGGCGGGUGAACACCGCUGAUGUGAUGCGUGCUGUUACCAGGGAGAUGGGCGAGAAUAGAAAAGCCAUCUUCCUGAAGGAAGCAGGCAAGAUCACCAAGACUGUGUCCUACGCUGAGUUUGAGGACUAUUAUGAGGGCCUGAGUAUUGAAAUCCCUGAUGAUGAAGAGUACAUCAACAAUAUGAGAGCUACAUGGAGUAUCUGA